ncrna:unclassified sequences DTF3800-I RNA
UAUAAGUACAGAUAGAAAUAUACUAUACUGUGUACAGCAAGGAAGUGAAUUAGUGUUUAAGCGUACUCGUAAGUACGUCAUCUUGUUGGGAAUCGCCCUAAUGGGCGAUUUUUUAUUAUAGG